CACUGUGGUGUAUGGCUUGCACACCGUGGACACACAGAGGCCAAUGUGGGGUUAUUUAGAGGCUCUUGAUAGUUCUAUGAUUGAGACAUGGUGUGUGAUUGGUGACUUUAAUGCAGUCUUAUAUGCAGGGGUUAUAAUCAAUGGUAACCCUAUUACUGUAGGGGAAACUAGAGAUUUUGAGCAUCUGCUGGACUUUACUGAUCUGUUGGAGCUUAAAUCUAGUGGCUCUUACUUUUCAUGAAGCAACAAGGGGGAGGGUGACUGUAGAAUUGAAUCCAGAAUUGGCAGAUGUUUUGGUAAUUCAAGGUGGCUUGGCUAGUACACCACUGCUUCGGUGGAACACUUGACUCCAGGGCUCUCUGAUCACUCACCUCUAGUGAUUAGGUGUAACAUUGAGACUAGACAAGGGGGUAAACCUUUUAAAAUAAUAUAAGAAAAAGAACAUUAAAAAGAAAUACUACAUCUUAUAUAAUAAUUAAAAUGUCAUUGGCUAUUGUGAGGCCUCCAAAAUCCCAAUGAAGCAUUUCUAUACACUCCCUCCAAAACCAAUCAAUCCAAAAUUUAAAUGGAUUUUAAUUAUUAAAGAAAAAAAAACACAAAUCAAAACCCACGUAAUACACUACUCCUCCUCUCCACCUAAUAUCGUAUCAGUAACCUCCCAGUAAAAUAAGCUACUCUCUCCCGGCAAAAUAAACUAAUCCUCCUAUUUUCAUGGAACAUGAACAACAAUUACACCAUAACAAAUCAACCUCACGCCGCCGUUUCCCUUCAUUGUUGUACCCUGUUUCUCCUCACAACUAAGGUUUCUUAACUGUUGUUCGUUGCUUCAAUUCGUGCGGUGUUGUUUCUGCUCUUUGAAACUAGAGGUGCAUGUCUUUCUAAAGUUGGACGCAGUGGACUCUUUAUUGAUCCAAAUAUUGAUGAAACUGGAGAUAUUCAUGGAUGGUGAAAUACUUUUAAGUACUCAAGGAUACUAGAUAUUGAUUUUUCAGAGCCUCUUUGGUAUGAAUCAUAUGUUGGACACUCAAAGAGAAUCGAUCUAUGCUCGUAAUGUUUAUACACGGGCACAUUCUAAUACUU